CACGUAGGGGGCAAGCGUUGUCCGGAUUUAUUGGGCGUAAAGAGCUCGUAGGCGGCUUAGUAAGUCGGGUGUGAAACCUCCAGGCUCAACCUGGAGACGCCACCCGAUACUGCUGUGGCUUGAGUCCGGUAGGGGAGCGUGGAAUUCCUGGUGUAGCGGUGAAAUGCGCAGAUAUCAGGAGGAACACCAGCGGCGAAGGCGGCGCUCUGGGCCGGAACUGACGCUGAGGAGCGAAAGCGUGGGGAGCGAACAGG
rnacentral:rRNA from 1 species